rnacentral:rRNA from 1 species
GACGAACGCUGGCGGCGUGCCUAAUACAUGCAAGUUGAGCGCUGAAGGUUGGUACUUGUACCAACUGGAUGAGCAGCGAACGGGUGAGUAACGCGUGGGGAAUCUGCCUUUGAGCGGGGGACAACAUUUGGAAACGAAUGCUAAUACCGCAUAAAAACUUUAAACACAAGUUUUAAGUUUGAAAGAUGCAAUUGCAUCACUCAAAGAUGAUCCCGCGUUGUAUUAGCUAGUUGGUGAGGUAAAGGCUCACCAAGGCGAUGAUACAUAGCCGACCUGAGAGGGUGAUCGGCCACAUUGGGACUGAGACACGGCCCAAACUCCUACGGGAGGCAGCAGUAGGGAAUCUUCGGCAAUAGACGAAAGUCUGACCGAGCAAGGCCGCGUGAGUGAAGAAGGUUUUCGGAUCGUAAAACUCUGUUGGUAGAGAAGAACGUUGGUGAGAGUGGAAAGCUCAUCAAGUGACGGUAACUACCCAGAAAGGGACGGCUAACUACGUG